rnacentral:misc_RNA from 1 species
AGAGAGAGUCAAACAGUACGUGAAACCGUCAGGAGGGAAACGAACGGGGUUGGUGCAGUGAUCGUGCAGGUUCAAGUGCUGCCGAAGGUGCCGACGGGAGGGCGGAGAUCGUCCCCCGCCGUCCACCGGAGGCGGCAUCGUACUCCUCGCGAUCGCGGACCAGCGGCGGUUGGACCGGCGCCAAAAGGCAGCCCGGAAGGUGAGUCGACGUGGGCUCGUCCUGCAUUGACAGCUUACAGACCCGUUGUCCGGUGCGCCGAUCCGACCGAGGAACGAGGGCAGCCCCUGCCCGCCGUGGUGUACGCCGUACGGCGGGGCCUCCCGACACGAGCGAGUCGUGCGACGUGGACUGCGUGCAGUGCUAGCCGUGGCGGUAAACUCGUGGCGGUGAGUGCCACCCGUGCACCAGUGCCGCUGGUAUUCAGACGGCCUCGUUCGACCCGUCUUGAAACACGG